UGGGGAAUUUUGCGCAAUGGGCGAAAGCCUGACGCAGCAACGCCGCGUGAGUGAUGAAGGCUUUCGGGUCGUAAAGCUCUGUCAAGGGGAAAGAAGUGUAGAGUGGUUAAUACCCGCUUUACUUGACGGUACCCCUGAAGGAAGCACCGGCUAACUCCGUGCCAGCAGCCGCGGUAAUACGGGGGGUGCAAGCGUUGUUCGGAUUUAUUGGGCGUAAAGCGCGUGUAGGCGGUUUGUUAAGUCUGAUGUGAAAGCCCUGGGCUCAACCCAGGAAGUGCAUUGGAUACUGGCAGACUUGAAUACGGGAGAGGGUAGUGGAAUUCCUGGUGUAGGAGUGAAAUCCGUAGAUAUCAGGAGGAACACCGGUGGCGAAGGCGGCUGCCUGGACCGAUAUUGACGCUGAGACGCGAAAGCGUGGGUAGCAAACAG
rnacentral:rRNA from 1 species